UACGUAGGUGGCAAGCGUGGUCCGGAAUUAUUGGGCGGAAAGCGCGCGCAGGCGGUCCCUUAAGUCUGAUGUGAAAUCCCACGGCUCAACCGUGGAAGGUCAUUGGAAACUGGGGGACUUGAGUACAGAAGAGGAAAGCGGAAUUCCAAGUGUAGCGGUGAAAUGCGUAGAGAUUUGGAGGAACACCAGUGGCGAAGGCGGCUUUCUGGUCUGUAACUGACGCUGAGGCGCGAAAGCGUGGGGAGCAAACAGG
rnacentral:rRNA from 1 species